CGCAUCUGUGCAUGCAGCAUAUCAAUAAGCGGAGGAAAAGAAACUAACAAGGAUUCCCCUAGUAACGGCGAGUGAAGCGGGAAGAGCUCAAAUUUGAAAUCUUAAAGGGUUUCCCUUUACGAAUUGUAGUUUAAAGAAGUGUUUUCUGUUGAGGUUUUGGUAAAAGUUCUUUGGAAUAGGACAUCAUAGAGGGUGAGAAUCCCGUAUUUGACCUUUACUUUCAACUUUGUGAUACACUUUCAAAGAGUCGGAUUGUUUGGGAAUGCAGUCCAAAAUGGGUGGUAAAUUUCAUCUAAAGCUAAAUAUUGGCGAGAGACCGAUAGGCGAACAAGUACCGUGAGGGAAAGAUGAAAAGAACUUUGAAAAGAGAGUUAAACAGUACGUGAAAUUGUCAAAAGGGAAGCGUUUGACACCAGUGUUGUUUUUCUGAAAAUCAAUUAAAGAACUGUUUAUGCUAAGCUGUUUAGACUUUAUCAGCUAUCUGUUUAGUUUUGAGCUUUUCUUUAAUGCACUUUUCAGUUAACAAGUCAACAUCAAUUUCUUUUGCUGUAAAAAAGCUUGAGGAAGGUGGCUUGAGAUUCGUCUUAAGUGUUUAUAGCCUCUUGCCUAUGCAGUCGGAGAGAUUGAGGUCUGCAGCGUAGAUCCUUCGGGGCUAAAUGCAUUUGUGCUAAGUUAUAGCAUUUUAUAGACAACUUGUUGACUAUGAUUUGUCUUGUAGCUUACUCGCUUAUGUUAUUUUACCUACGCUUAGGAUGUUGAAUCUGUGCGAGACUAC
rnacentral:rRNA from 1 species